AGAUUGAACGCUGGCGGCAUGCCUUACACAUGCAAGUCGAACGGCAGCACGGGAGCAAUCCUGGUGGCGAGUGGCGAACGGGUGAGUAAUAUAUCGGAACGUGCCCAGUCGUGGGGGAUAACGCAGCGAAAGCUGUGCUAAUACCGCAUACGAUCUAUGGAUGAAAGCGGGGGAUCGCAAGACCUCGCGCGAUUGGAGCGGCCGAUAUCAGAUUAGCUAGUUGGUGGGGUAAAAGCCUACCAAGGCGACGAUCUGUAGCUGGCCUGAGAGGACGACCAGCCACACUGGAACUGAGACACGGGUCCAGACUCCUACGGGAGCAGCAGGUGGGGUAAUUUGGACAAGUGGGGCGACGAA
rnacentral:rRNA from 1 species